CCUACGGGGGACAGCAGUGGGGGAUAUUGCACAAUGGGGGGAACCCUGAUGCAGCGACGCCGCGUGGGUGAAGAAGCGCCUCGGCGCGUAAAGCCCUGUCAGCAGGGAAGAAAAUGACGGUACCUGAAGAAGAAGCCCCGGCUAACUACGUGCCAGCAGCCCCGGUAAUACGUAGGGGGCAAGCGUUAUCCGGAUUUACGGGGUGUAAAGGGGGCGCAGACGGCGAUGCAAGCCAGGAGUGAAAGCCGGGGGCCCAACCCCGGGACUGCUCUUGGAACUGCGUGGCUGGAGUGCAGGAGGGGCAGGCGGAAUUCGUGGUGUAGCGGUGAAAUGCGUAGAUAUCAGGAGGAACACCGGUGGCGAAGGCGGUCUGCUGGACUGCAACUGACGUUGAGGCCCGAAAGCGUGGGGAGCAAACAGGAUUAGAUACCCUUGUAGUC
rnacentral:rRNA from 1 species